rnacentral:rRNA from 1 species
UACGGGGGGGGCAAGCGUUGUUCGGAAUUACUGGGCGUAAAGGGCUCGUAGGCGGCCAACUAAGUCGGACGUGAAAUCCCCAGGCUCAACUUGGGAACUGCAUCCGAUACUGGAUGGCUUGAAUUCGGGAGAGGGAUGCAGAAUUCCAGGUGUAGCGGUGAAAUGCGUAGAUAUCUGGAGGAAUACCGGUGGCGAAGGCGGCAUCCUGGACCGACAUUGACGCUGAGGAGCGAAAGCCAGGGGAGCAAACGGG